rnacentral:ncRNA from 1 species
GUAUAAUGGCGGCGUUUUGGUGCUCGCGGUCGUGUUCACGACCGCAGUUAAACGGGAAACACGAAGCCCUUCAACAAGGCCAACGUGUGCUGCCCCCGCAACGGUAAGCAAGUACCGCGCAUGAUCGCUCAAGCGCGGCAAACCGUCUUCCAUGACCACUGUGCGAACGCAUGGGAAGGUCGGACGGCCAAACUUGCCAGCCCGGAUACCGGCCAAAAGGUGGAAGCGUGCC